rnacentral:tRNA from 1 species
CUUCUAUAGGAAAGCAGCAAUCCGUUGGGUUUAGGCACCAAAAAUCU